UUUAGAAAUUUGGGCCAUUUUUUGCAAUGAAAUCCCUAUUUUGAAACAAAAGGUUGGAGCAACUGAAACAUUCAUCUCGAAAUUGCCUGAACAUAGUUCUUCCUAUCCUCUGAAAUCUCUCUUUUGUCUCUUCUUCUUUAAACUAAAUUAUUCAUUAAAAUAAAAGUGAGUUUACAAAUAAUUUAUUCACAAGCCUCUUUUUUCUUUUUUUUCUUUUCUGUAGGGAAUUUACUACUCCGUGUAUAUACACAUAUGUGAGUAUGUAUAUAUGCCUAUAUAUGGGCUGUGAUUAAUUUCUCACUUGUGCAGAAAGAUUCCUGGGCAGAUUGAGGUACGAGAGGCUGCCUGUGCACGAGGGGGUAGGGUUGGCUCCUGAUAACUUCUAUCUUUGCAGCUACAAGGACAUCUAAGCUCAAGCAAGGAGAAGUCACUUCAGACGUCCUGCUGCCGCUUGCUGCCAGGCUCUGGCUCCCUGGAGAGACGACGUAGAGCAUCCCGAAUAGCAAGUGCCUGCAUACGGCCCUCCAUCCGCUCCGCAAUCACCGCGUCCCGCUUGUCCCAGAUGGCACAGGGGAAUAGCCGCUUCUUUUCUGACUCAACCGAGCCUACGCAAGCUACACAUUUCCCACUCCCCCGCUGCUGAAAAGCAAACAAUCCAUUAGGGCUUCGCUGACUGGAUCUGACAUUUCCCAGGUGCAGAUUAACACCCCCUCGGGGCCUGAACACCGUGAAAAUCAACUCAUCGCUUGCGCAUCACUUCCCAUCACCGCUCCCAGCAACGGAGGAGCCCCAGCACCUGCCAGCCCAGUGCUCGGUGCCCGUUGGCAUGGUUUUCCAAAGGAACAGAGGAAGAAGGCCAACAGUGGUGUGAUGGGCCUCGGGCUCACCAUCCACGAGCUGGGAAGGGAGGACAUCACACAAGGAGUCUGUCGGGUGCUGCUUCAAAUCCAACCCUGUGCCUGUUGCAUCAUGCAUCCAGACUCUGAGGCAUAACCCACCUGUCUUCAAGUUGCCAUCGCAGGAAGAUAAAAGUGUUAAAGUCCUGUUUCAUAUCUUCUAACUCCAUGCCAGUGUCUUGAAACCUUGAGGCACAUCAAAUGGUCAGAGGAGUUCAGAGAACUCUACAAAUUAUACUAGAGCAGAUGCCUGUUCUGGACAGUGAACCUCUGCUGACUGUGUUGGCUGAAUCUCCACGGGGAAUGAGGAGAGCUUGAACACUCAGCUCACAUCUGAAUGGACACAUCUGAACUGUGGACACCAAACUCUUGGCAUCCGAAUCUGAGCAGAAUCUCACCUCCACAGCACAGACAUCUCCAUCAAAGUAAGUGAACACAGGUUGAUGUUACAACACUUCAAAGUCAGCAUUAAUCACAGGUUUUUUGGCCUUAAGUCUGACAGCUAAAAUCAGAACAAGUGCCCAAGGGGUCUGCAAGAUCUACAUCCAUGGAUGUAUUCAGAACUUGAGUGAAUGAGACAUUAGGGAACCAGGUCUAUUUGACAUUGUCUUCAAUGUGUGUGUGGGGAGUGGACUAGAGACCUCCAAAGGUCUUUUACACCCUUAAUUAUUCCCUGAUUCCAAGACUUAGAAGACAAAUUGGACUUCUGGGUACCCAUCUCUUUGCAGGGUGACUAACUGAGAUGGAGACAACUGCACCAGAGACAUUUAAAAUUUAAGAGAGUCAGUACUAUGCCAGUACUAGCUUGAACGUCCUUCACUGCUGUAAAUAAAGGGAAGAUUCAAGUCCCUUUUAGCA
rnacentral:lncRNA from 1 species